CCUAGUUUCCGUGCCCAACGUUUGACCGUCCAUCUUAUUUAAAAAAAUUAUAAAAAAAAUAAAAAGACAACUUACGCAUAAAAUAUUAAUCAUAUUUUAUCAUCUAACAACAAUAAAAAUACGAAUUAUAAAAAAAUUUCAUAUAAGACGGACAGUCAAAAUUGGACACGGAAAUUCAGGGUUUGCCUUUUU
rfam:Oryza nivara chromosome 4, whole genome shotgun sequence.